AAGGAAUAUUGGUCAAUGGACGCAAGUCUGAACCAGCCAUGCCGCGUGGAGGAUUAAGGCCCUCUGGGUUGUAAACUCCUUUUAUCUGGGAAGAAAUGUACUUUUUCUUGAGUACUUGACGGUACCAGAGGAAUAAGCACCGGCUAACUCCGUGCCAGCAGCCGCGGUAAUACGGAGGGUGCAAGCGUUAUCCGGAUUCACUGGGUUUAAAGGGUGCGUAGGUGGGCAGGUAAGUCAGUGGUGAAAUCUCCGGGCUUAACCCGGAAACUGCCGUUGAUACUAUUUGUCUUGAAUAUUGUGGAGGUAAGCGGAAUAUGUCAUGUAGCGGUGAAAUGCUUAGAUAUGACAUAGAACACCAAUUGCGAAGGCAGCUUACUACACAAUCAUUGACGCUGAGGCACGAAAGCGUGGGGAUCAAACA
rnacentral:rRNA from 1 species